rnacentral:rRNA from 1 species
AACGAACGCUGGCGGCGUGGAUAAGACAUGCAAGUCGAACGAGAACUACGAAUAGCUUGCUAAUUGUAGUUCUAGUGGCGGACGGGUGCGUAACACGUGAGCCACCUACCCUGAAGUGGGGGAUAGCCCGGGGAAACCCGGAUUAAUACCGCAUGUGAUCUUCGGAUCAAAGACGGCUUCGGCUGUCGCUUCAGGAUGGGCUCGCGGCCUAUCAGCUUGUUGGUGAGGUAACGGCUCACCAAGGCAACGACGGGUAGCUGGUCUGAGAGGACGAUCAGCCACACUGGAACUGAGACACGGUCCAGACACCUACGGGUGGCAGCAGUCGAGAAUCAUUCACAAUGGGGGAAACCCUGGAUGGUGCAACGCCGCGUGGAGGAUGACGGCCCUCGGGUUGUAAACUCCUGUCAUCUGGGAGUAAGCCUUGUGCGUUAAUAGCGUGCAAGGUUGAUAGUACCAGAAGAGGAAGGGACGGCUAAC